UACGUAGGUGACCAGCGUUGUCCGGAUUUACUGGGCGUAAAGAGCGCGCAGGCGGUCGUUUCAAGUCGAGUGUGAAAGCCCCCGGCUCAACUGGGGAGGGUCACUCGAUACUGAUCGACUUGAAGGCAGGAGAGGGAAGCGGAAUUCCCGGUGUAGUGGUGAAAUGCGUAGAUAUCGGGAGGAACACCAGUGGCGAAGGGCGGCUCCUUGGCCCUGUUCUUGACGCUGAGGCGCGAAAGCUAGGGGAGCAAACGGGG
rnacentral:rRNA from 1 species